rnacentral:rRNA from 1 species
AUUGAACGCUGGCGGCAGGCCUAACACAUGCAAGUCGAACGAGUGGCGGACGGGUGAGUAAUGUCUGGGAAACUGCCUGAUGGAGGGGGAUAACUACUGGAAACGGUAGCUAAUACUGCAUACCAUAGGAUGUGCCCAGAUGGGAUUAGAUAGGAGGUGGGGUAACGGCUCACAUGGGCGACGAUCCCUAGCUGGUCAAAGAGGAUGACCAGCCACACUGGAACUCAGACAAGGUCCAGAUUCCUACGGGAGGCAGCAGUGGGGAAUAGUGCACAAUGGGCACAAGCCUGAUGCACCCAUGCCGCGAGUGUGAAGAAGGUCUUAGGGUUGUAAAGCACGUUCAGCGGGGAGGCGUUACUCGCAGAAGAAGCACCGACUCCCUCCGUGCCAGCAGCCGCGGUAAUUC